AUUGAACGCUGGCGGCAGGCCUAACACAUGCAAGUCGAGCGGAUGAAGGGAGCUUGCUCCUGGAUUCAGCGGCGGACGGGUGAGUAAUGCCUAGGAAUCUGCCUGGUAGUGGGGGAUAACGUCCGGAAACGGGCGCUAAUACCGCAUACGUCCUGAGGGAGAAAGUGGGGGAUCUUCGGACCUCACGCUAUCAGAUGAGCCUAGGUCGGAUUAGCUAGUUGGUGGGGUAAAGGCCUACCAAGGCGACGAUCCGUAACUGGUCUGAGAGGAUGAUCAGUCACACUGGAACUGAGACACGGGCCAAGAUCCUACGGGAGGCAGGAGGGGGGAAUAUUGGACAAUGGGGGAAAGCCUUGUCCAGCCAAGGCGCGGGUGGGAAGGAGGGCUUCGGAUUGUAAAGCACUUUAAGUUGGGAGGAAGGGCAGUAAGUUAAUACCUUGCUGUUUUGACGUUACCAACAGAAUAAGCACCGGCGAACUUCGU
rnacentral:rRNA from 1 species